GCAGCAGGACUGUAGCAAUACAGUUGCUGGCGACCGGCAAACGGGUGCGGAACACGUACGCAAUCUACCCAAAACUGGUGAAUAGCCCUCCGAAAGGAGGAUUAAUACACCGUAACCUAUUGAAGUGGCAUCACUUUAUUAGUAUAGCUCCGGCGGUUUUGGAUGAGCGUGCGGCUGAUUAGGUAGUUGGCGGGGUAACGGCCCACCAAGCCUGCGAUCAGUAACUGGUGUGAGAGCACGACCAGUCACACGGGCACUGAGACACGGGCCCGACUCCUACGGGAGGCAGCAGUAAGGAAUAUUGGUCAAUGGACGCAAGUCUGAACCAGCCAUGCCGCGUGGAGGAUGAAGGCCCUCUGGGUUGUAAACUUCUUUUAUCUGGGACGAAACCCUCAUAUUCUUAUGAGACUGACGGUACCAGAGGAAUAAGCACCGGCUAACUCCGUGCCAGCAGCCGCGGUAAUACGGAGGGUGCAAGCGUUA
rnacentral:rRNA from 1 species